CGGCGUGCCUAAUACAUGCAAGUCGAACGCACUCUCGUUUAGAUUGAAGGAGCUUGCUCCUGAUUGAUAAACAUUUGAGUGAGUGGCGGACGGGUGAGUAACACGUGGGUAACCUGCCCUAAAGUGGGGGAUAACAUUUGGAAACAGAUGCUAAUACCGCAUAAAACCUAACACCGCAUGGUGUAGGGUUGAAAGAUGGUUUCGGCUAUCACUUUAGGAUGGACCCGCGGUGCAUUAGUUAGUUGGUGAGGUAAAGGCUCACCAAGACCGUGAUGCAUAGCCGACCUGAGAGGGGUAAUCGGCCACACUGGGACUGAGACACGGCCCAGACUCCUAUGGGAGGCAGCAGUAGGGAAUCUUCCACAAUGGACGAAAGUCUGAUGGAGCAACGCCGCGUGAGUGAAGAAGGUUUUCGGAUCGUAAAACUCUGUUGUUGGAGAAGAAUGUAUCUGAUAGUAACUGAUCAGGUAGUGACGGUAUCCAACCAGAAAGCCACGGCUAACUGCGUG
rnacentral:rRNA from 1 species